CCUCUCUUUUAUCUGACCAAACCCCACCCCUAACCCGUAUUUUCCCAUUUCGGCCACCCUCAGUCACUCUCUUCAUAGCUCACGAUGAAACCCUAGCCGGCCAUGAAGAUUUUCUCUGUUCUUUCCUUUUUACGCGUCCAUACGCAGGCUCACAUACUUUAUUCGUGCUCACUCGCUCAGUUAUGGUAACAUUCGUUACCAAUCCAUCUAUGGAAAGUAUGAUUCUCCUGAAUCGGGUUGAUAUGACUUCAACCUUAUGGAUCCGGACACGAUUGUGGCUCUGUAAAUCCAGAAAGGGAGAAUAUUUCUAUGUCCCUGCGUAUUUCCGUCGAUUUCUUCUCGAUUAAGGUUUACAUGAGUUUUAUUCGAUUUUGUUAUUUGAUUGAUCUUUUUCUUUUUCUGAUUAUGUGAAUCUAACACUAUAUAAACCCCUUCCGCAAUUCCCCUAAACAUACUUUAUUGACUACUCCCGAACACUCGCAAAUUGUUAUAUUGUGUUCUGGUUCUCUGAAACUAUUGUGUUCGAUUUGGUUCUUAUCCGGCUAAAGGACAAGGCCACCGUGGUAUUUCUUAAUUACCUCCUCUAGUGAAAGCACUUCUCGAAGCCCUUUCGAGGCUCUUGUUAACUCUGAAGCACCGGAGACUUGGGGUUCUCACUAUCCUCCUUCAAUUGCUACUACUGAGCCACUACUGAAAUGCUAAUUUUCUUACUCUUUUGCUCUUUUAUCUUUGCAACUGGUCUUUUGUGGAGGUAAACAUGAGCCAUUUGUGCUAACUGUACUUUUUAUGAAGUUCAGUUUGUUAAUUAUGUGGCACCUAGUAUUUUAAUUUUGAAAAGCCUAGGAUGAGUCGAGAACCACUUGUAUAGCGGUCCAAUACCUCCUGGACCAUAGGCAUGGGAUAGGUAGACAUAUAUAGGGUACAACUUAGAUUGAAUUAGUGCGCUUUAGGUAAACAAUUGAAGAUAGUAAUCGGGUAGCUAGAAAUGAUAGUUUGUGCUUGCUGGAUAAUAUGCGAAACCAUUGCACUUAAGUGUUAAAAAGUA